rnacentral:rRNA from 1 species
AUCAACUUUCGAUGGUAGGAUAGAGGCCUACCAUGGUGGUAACGGGUAACGGGGUGUUAGGGCACGACACCGGAGAGGGAGCCUGAGAAACGGCUACCACAUCCAAGGAUGGCAGCAGGCGCGCAAAUUACCCAAUCCCGACACGGGGAGGUAGUGACAAUAAAUAACAAUACGGGGUUCUUUCGGAUUUCGUAAUUGGAAUGAGUACAAUUUAAAUCUCUUAACGAGGAACAAUUGGAGGGCAAGUCUGGUGCCAGCAGCCGCGGUAAUUCCAGCUCCAAUAGCGUAUAUUAAAGUUGUUGCAGUUAAAAAGCUCGUAGUUGAAUUUCGGGGUCAGUAGAUUGGUCAUGCCAUUGGUAUGCACUGGUCUUACUGGCUCCUCCUUCCUGAUGAACCGUAAUGCCAUUAAUUUGGUGUUGCGGGGAGACUGGACUGUUACUUUGAAAAAAUUAGAGUGUUUAAAGCAGGCUAACGCUUGAAUACAUUAGCAUGGAAUAAUGAAAUAGGACGUUCGAUCUUAUUUUGUUGGUUUCUAAGAUUGACGUAAUGAUUAAUAGGGAUAGUUGGGGGCAUUAGUAUUCAAUUGUCAGAGGUGAAAUUCUUGGAUUUAUUGAAGACUAACUACUGCGAAAGCAUUUGCCAAGGAUGUUUUCAUUAAUCAAGAACGAAAGUUAGGGGAUCGAAGACGAUCAGAUACCGUCGUAGUCUUAACCAUAAACUAUGCCGACUAGGGAUCGGAUGAUGUUAAUUUUUUAAUGACUCAUUCGGCGCCUUACGGGAAACCAAAGUGUUUGGGUUC